GACGAACCGUGCGACCGUUAUUCGGAAUCACUGGGCUUAAAGCGCGUGUAGGCGGAUGGGUGCGUCGGAACCUGAAAGCCCCCGGCUCAACCGGGGAAGUGGGGCCGAAACGACCCGUCUGGAGGGACGUAGGGGGAUCUGGAACUUCCGGUGGAGCGGUGAAAUGCGUUGAGAUCGGAAGGAACGCCCGUGGCGAAAGCGAGAUCCUGGACGUCUUCUGACGCUGAGACGCGAAAGCUAGGGGAGCAAACGGG
rnacentral:rRNA from 1 species